AACGAACGCUGGCGGCAUGCCUAACACAUGCAAGUCGACCGAAACCUUCGGGUUUAGUGGCGCACUGGUGCGUAACGCGUUGGAUCCUGCCUUUAGGUUCGGAAUCACUCCCCGGAAGAGGUUCUAAUACCGGAUAAUGUCUUCGGACCAAAGAUUUAUCGCCUUUGGAUGGGCGCGCGUUGGAUUAGCUAGUUUGUAGGGUAAAUGCCUACCAAUGCUACGUUCCAUAGCUGGUCUGAGAGAAUGAUCAGCAACACUGGGACUGAGACACGGCACAGACUCCUACGGGAGGAAGCAGUGGGGAAUAUUGGACGAUCGGCGGAAGGAUGAUGCAGCUAUGACGGGUGAGUGAUGAAGGUCGGAGGGUAGUAAAGCUAUUUUACACGGGAUGAUAAUGACGGUACCGACAGAAGAAGCUCCGGCUAACUACGUG
rnacentral:rRNA from 1 species